CGAUAACGCUGGCGGUAUCCUACACGAUUCAUGUCGAACGGCAGCACGACGAGCUUGCUCACUUGGUGGCGAGUGCGACGGGUGAGUAACGCGUGAGAAUCUACCUUCAGGUCUGGGACAACAGUUGGAAACGACUGCUAAUACCGGAUGUGCCUUAGGGUGAAAGUUUUUUCGCCUGAAGAUGAGCUCGCGUCUGAUUAGUUAGUUGGUGGGGUAAAGGCUUACCAAGACAUCGAUCAGUAGCUGGUCUGAGAGGACGAUCAGCCACACUGGGACUGAGACACGGCCCAGACUCCUACGGGAGGCAGCAGUGGGGAAUUUUCCGCAGUGGGCGAAAGCCUGACGGAGCAAUACCGCGUGCGGGAGGAAGGCCUUUGGGUCGUAAACCGCUUUUAACAGGGAAGACGAUCUGACGGUACCUGUUGAAUAAGCCUCGGCUAACUCCGUUGCAAGCAGCCGCGGUAAGACGGAAGAGGCAAGCGUUCUCCGGAAUUUUUGGGCUUAAACGUCCCGCGGUGUCCUAUCCAGUAUUGUAGUAAAAGCCCAGUGGCU
rnacentral:rRNA from 1 species